rnacentral:rRNA from 1 species
GACGAACGCUGGCGGCGUGCUUAACACAUGCAAGUCGAACGGUAAGGCCCUUCGGGGUACACGAGUGGCGAACGGGUGAGUAACACGUGGGUGAUCUGCCCUGCACUUCGGGAUAAGCCUGGGAGACCGGGUCUAAUACCGGAUAGGACCACUGCCUGCAUGGGUGGGGGUGGAAAGCUUUUGCGGUGUGGGAUGGGCCCGCGGCCUAUCAGCUUGUUGGUGGGGUGAUGGCCUACCAAGGCGACGACGGGUAGCCGGCCUGGGAGGGUGACCGGCCACACUGGGACUGAGAUACGGCCCAGACUCCUACGGGAGGCAGCAGUGGGGAAUAUUGCACAAUGGGCGCAAGCCUGAUGCAGCGACGCCGCGUGAGGGAUGACGGCCUUCGGGUUGUAAACCUCUUUCAGCACCGACGAAGCGCAAGUGACGGUAGGUGCAGAAGAAGGACCGGCCAACUACGUGCCAGCCGCCGCCGUAA